rnacentral:rRNA from 1 species
UUGCUGGGCGGAUUAGUGGCGAACGGGUGAGUAACACGUGAGUAACCUGCCCUUGACUUCGGGAUAACUCCGGGAAACCGGGGCUAAUACCGGAUAUGAGCCGCCUUCGCAUGGGGGUGGUUGGAAAGUUUUUCGGUCAGGGAUGGGCUCGCGGCCUAUCAGCUUGUUGGUGGGGUGAUGGCCUACCAAGGCGACGACGGGUAGCCGGCCUGAGAGGGCGACCGGCCACACUGGGACUGAGACACGGCCCAGACUCCUACGGGAGGCAGCAGUGGGGAAUAUUGCACAAUGGGCGAAAGCCUGAUGCAGCGACGCCGCGUGAGGGAUGAAGGCCUUCGGGUUGUAAACCUCUUUCAGCAGGGAAGAAGCGCAAGUGACGGUACCUGCAGAAGAAGCGCCGGCUAACUACGUGCCAGCAGCCGCGGUAAUACGUAGGGCGCAAGCGUUGUCCGGAAUUAUUGGGCGUAAAGAGCUCGUAGGCGGUUUGUCGCGUCUGGUGUGAAAACUCGAGGCUCAACCUCGAGCUUGCAUCGGGUACGGGCAGACUAGAGUGCGGUAGGGGAGACUGGAAUUCCUGGUGUAGCGGUGGAAUGCGCAGAUAUCAGGAGGAACACCGAUGGCGAAGGCAGGUCUCUGGGCCGCAACUGACGCUGAGGAGCGAAAGCAUGGGGAGCGAACAGGAUUAGAUACCCUGGUAGUCCAUGCCGUAAACGUUGGGCACUAGGUGUGGGGCUCAUUCCACGAGUUCCGUGCCGCAGCAAACGCAUUAAGUGCCCCGCCUGGGGAGUACGGCCGCAAGGCUAAAACUCAAAGGAAUUGACGGGGGCCCGCACAAGCGGCGGAACAUGCGGAUUAAUUCGAUGCAACCCGAAAAACCUUACCAAGGCUUGACAUGC